rnacentral:rRNA from 1 species
GUCUCUUUGUUUAAUUAAAUAUAAGGAGUCGAGCCUGCCCAGUGACUAAUAUGUUAAACGGCCGCGGUACCCUAACUGUGCGAAGGUAGCAUAAUCAUUUGCCUUUUAAUUGGAGGCUUGUAUGAACGGCUUGACGAGAACUGAUCUGUCUCUUUUGAAAUAUUUAGAAAUUAACAUUUAGGUGAAGAGGCCUAAAUAUAGUUGAGGGACAAGAAGACCCUAUUGAGCUUUAAUAUAAUAAUAAACCUAUCAACCUUUGGUGAAUUUUAAUUGUGUGUUAGCAUAGCAAAUAUUUUAUUAUUAAUUUUUAGUUGGGGCGACUGAGGAACAAAUAAAACUUCCUUUAACAUGAUGUUUAAAUGAAAGCUGUUUUAAUAAAGAUCCAGUAAAUUAAUACUGAUUAAAGGAAAAAGUUACCGUAGGGAUAACAGCGUAAUUUUCCUGGAGAGAUCUUAUCGAAAGGAAUGUUUGCGACCUCGAUGUUGGACUAAGAUACCCAGAAGGUGCAGACGCUUUCGACGGUUGGUCUGUUCGACCAUUAAAAUCUU